GAUGAACGCUGGCGGCGUGCCUAAUACAUGCAAGUCGAGCGAACAGACGAGGAGCUUGCUCCUCUGACGUUAGCGGCGGACGGGUGAGUAACACGUGGAUAACCUACCCAUAAGACUAGGAUAACUUCGGGAAACCGGAGCUAAUACCGGAUAAUAUAUUGAACCGCAUGGUUCAAUAGUGAAAGACGGUUUUGCUGUCACUUAUAGAUGGAUCCGCGCCGCAUUAGCUAGUUGGUAAGGUAACGGCUUACCAAGGCGACGAUGCGUAGCCGACCUGAGAGGGUGAUCGGCCACACUGGAACUGAGACACGGUCCAGACUCCUACGGGAGGCAGCAGUAGGGAAUCUUCCGCAAUGGGCGAAAGCCUGACGGAGCAACGCCGCGUGAGUGAUGAAGGUCUUCGGAUCGUAAAACUCUGUUAUUAGGGAAGAACAAAUGUGUAAGUAACUAUGCACGUCUUGACGGUACCUAAUCAGAAAGCCACGGCUAACUACGUG
rnacentral:rRNA from 1 species